GUCUACUUAAUGCUUGUAGAUGUAGGCCUACUUAAUGCUUGUAGAUGUAGGCCUACUUAAGGCUUGUAGAUGUAGGUCUACUUAAUGCUUGUAGAUGUAGGCCUACUUAAUGCUUGUAGAUGUAGGCUUACUUCAUGCUUGUUUCUAGAUGUUCUGACUCGCUACAUGCUAUCUGUCAGGAACAGUCCAAGACUUGUAUUUUUCUUCAUCACCACCACACAUAAUUAACACACACAUGCAGGAUCUUCGGUUACAAUAGGAAUGUACUUUUUUCUUAGAUGUACGCACAAUCUUCCAGGCCAAAACUUUCCUCUUCCUCGGACUAAAACACUCUGACAUGGGGUGGGAGGGGUCCAAGUCCAGAUGUGCAUGUGGGCACACUGAUUGGCUGAAGCUAAAGGGCUUUGAUGGACAGCUGAGAUGGUGACAUUGCUUUGGCAAUGUUAACACGUUUCCCAUGACAAUAAAGGCCCUUGAAUUGAAAUGAAUUGAAUUGAAAUAUCACGCUAUCGGGACCGCGGGGGAACUAAGGCGACUGUGAUGGAAGGUUAGGUCACAGAGUUUCUUAACCCAGAGACGCAACAUCGCGAUUCUCUUGCGCUUGGGAAGCAGACCCUACAGACCAGACAGGGGUUUGAUAAAUCAAUGAGAGAAGUGAAGACACCUUCUUUGCUAUUCAUUUUCUCUAAAUCUAAAGGCACAACCUAGAUCUGAGACACUGUCUAAAGUGGAUCUGACAGCAUUUUAGCAACAUGAAAUCCAAUGAAAAUCUGUUGAUAUACAUCUGUUGAUAAUGUGUUUUCAACUUCCUAAACAAAUAGCUACAUAAAUAGAUCUGCUACUCUAUUCGCCAGGUUUUGACUGAUUUGUGAUCAUUGUCCUUGCCAGUUUGAUUGUAUUGAAAUUCCCAGCCUUUUUAAAUGUAUAUAUUUUUUAUUUCACCUUUAUUUAUUUAACCAGGUAGGCAAGUUGAGAACAAGUUCUCACUUACAAUUGCGACCUGACCAAGAUAAAGCAAAGCAGUUCGACACAUACAACAACAGAGUUACACAUGGAAUAAAACAAACAUUUAGUCAAUAAUACAGUAGAAAAAUAAGUCUAUAUACGAUGUGAGCAAAUGAGGUGAGAUAAGGGAGGUAAAGGCAAAAAAAAGGCCUUGGUGGCGAAGUAAAUACAAUAUAGCAAGUAAAACACUGGAAUGGUAGAUUUUGCAGUGGAAGAAUGUGCAAAGUAGAGAUAGAAAUAAUGGGGUGCAAAGGAGCAAAAUAAAUAUAGUAGGGCAAGAGGUAGUUGUUUGGGCUAAAUUAUAGAUGGGCUAUGUACAGGUGCAGUAAUCUGUGAGCUGCUCUGACAGCUGGUGCUUAAAGCUAGUGAGGGAGAUAUGUGUUUCCAGUUUCAGAGAUUUUUGCAGUUCGUUCCAGUCAUUGGCAGCAGAGAACUGGAAGGAGAGGCGGCCAAAGAAAGAAUUGGUUUUGGGGGUGACUAGAGAGAUAUACCUGCUGGAGCGUGUGCUACAGGGCUGCAGAGAAGAGGUGCACUAUAAACUCCAGUCCACGAGGGCAGCAGGAUUGUCCCAGAUCCCAUGCUCCAUCCAACCUUUUCUUUCACUCUCUCUCACUUUCCAGGUCCUGUCUUCCCUGGUUUGGUCUUUCACUGUCUGCACUCCCUCCCUCUCCCUCUCUGUUUCUGUCUCCAAUAUGCACAGUGGCUAGGUUACUCUAGCUGCAGGCUAUUUUCUUUGGUAGACUUUAGAAAUAUGCAAAUGCAGCCGUUGACAACUGCAGAGAGAAGAAAAGCGAAACAACUCUGCAUCUGUGUUCCUUGAGCUGUCAGCUCUCAGAGACAUAUCAUUUACUCGUCCCUUUCUAUCCCUCUAUCAAAGUAGUGGUGUAAGACUUACCGAUAGAAGAAGAAAGAAGAAGAAGAGAGAGAGAGAGAGAGAGAGAGAGAGAGAGAGAGAGAGAGAGGGAAGUGUGAGAGGGAGAGAAAAGAUCAGGCUCAAAGUAUAGAAGGAAAUUAUAUGUCAAACGUCCUCUAUUGCUCAGUUGGUUAUUUCUACUCUCCCUCCUUCCUUCUCCCCUCCUUUCCU
ensembl:lncRNA